CAAACAAUCAUUUAAUUAGAACCUAUGUUACGCUACGAUCACAUAGAUACGAAGAUCACGAAAAUCGGAGCUAAAACGACCAAGUUACGAAUUUACGGUGAUUUCCUAUAGGCAUUUAAAUAACUAAACCUAACCCUGAAAAUAAAAUAUUGCAAACUACAGAAACAGUAGUACUAACAUAUAGAGAAUUUAAAUACGAAUCUAACGCAAUUCGAACGGGUCAAAUCGGAGCUAUAACGAAUAUUUUAUGGCC
rnacentral:lncRNA from 1 species